GUGGGGAAUCUUGCGCAAUGGGCGAAAGCCUGACGCAGUCAUGCCGCGUGAAUGAUGAAGGUCUUAGGAUUGUAAAAUUCUUUCACCGGGGACGAUAAUGACGGUACCCGGAGAAGAAGCCCCGGCUAACUUCGUGCCAGCAGCCGCGGUAAUACGAAGGGGGCUAGCGUUGCUCGGAAUUACUGGGCGUAAAGGGCGCGUAGGCGGACAGUUUAGUCAGAGGUGAAAGCCCAGGGCUCAACCUUGGAAUUGCCUUUGAUACUGGCUGUCUUGAGUACGGGAGAGGUGAGUGGAACUCCGAGUGUAGAGGUGAAAUUCGUAGAUAUUCGGAAGAACACCAGUGGCGAAGGCGACUCACUGGCCCGUUACUGACGCUGAGGCGCGAAAGCGUGGGGAGCAAACAGGAUUAGAUACCCUAGUAGUCC
rnacentral:rRNA from 1 species